UACGUAGGGUCCGAGCGUUGUCCGGAAUUAUUGGGCGUAAAGGGCUCGUAGGCGGUUUGUCGCGUUCGGGAGUGAAAACUCAGGGCUCAACCCUGAGCGUGCUUCCGAUACGGGCAGACUAGAGGUAUGCAGGGGAGAACGGAAUUCCUGGUGUAGCGGUGGAAUGCGCAGAUAUCAGGAGGAACACCGGUGGCGAAGGCGGUUCUCUGGGCAUUACCUGACGUGAGGAGCGAAAGCGUGGGGGAGCAAACAGG
rnacentral:rRNA from 1 species